AACGAACGCUGGCGGCAGGCCUAACACAUGCAAGUCGAACGCGUGUAGCAAUACACGAGUGGCGCACGGGUGAGUAACACGUGGGAACCUUCCUAGGGGUACGGAACAACUCAGGGAAACUUGAGCUAAUACCGUAUACGUCCGUAAGGAGAAAGAUUUAUCGCCCUUAGACGGGCCCGCGUCGGAUUAGCUAGUUGGUGGGGUAACGGCCUACCAAGGCUUCGAUCCGUAGCUGGUCUGAGAGGACGAUCAGCCACACUGGGACUGAGACACGGCCCAGACUCCUACGGGAGGCAGCAGUGGGGAAUCUUGCGCAAUGGGGGCAACCCUGACGCAGCCAUGCCGCGUGAAUGAUGAAGGCCUUAGGGUUGUAAAGUUCUUUUGCCCGUGACGAUGAUGACGGUAACGGGAGAAUAAGCUCCGGCUAACUUCGUG
rnacentral:rRNA from 1 species